GCGGCCGUAGCUCAAUGGUAGAGCGCCAGGUUGUGGACCUGGACACGCGGGUUCGAUCCCCGUCGGUCGCCCCA
rnacentral:tRNA from 1 species